rnacentral:lncRNA from 1 species
UUUAAUGUAAAAAGCCUGUUGUGUAACUUUAAUGAGGCAGUUGGACUAAAACAGUAUUGCUCGUCAAGGUAAACAUCUGAGGAAUAAGGAAAUUGUUACUUGUCCUUUUACUCAGUGUUCUUUUAAUCGCACAUUUACUAAAGUUUUACAUCACAUAAGUCAUUUUCACAAUCAUUCUACUUUAAAAGAUUUCAAGACAGAGCUUAUUGUUCUCUGAACUUCCUUGUUUGCUGAACGGCAGGUUGAAGCAGAAUUUGCCCGUCUUACAUCUGUUGACCUGAAAGGGUUCCUUUUUGCUGUGCUUGACCAUUAUGGAGAGGUUCGUGGAGCUGUACAAAAUCAAGAGCGGCAUAGGAGGGCUAACUAGGCUCAUAAAAUGCUUCGGAGAUGAUAGCCCUACACAAAGGAAGAGGACAGAGGACCUCAUUUUCUAAAGGAAGAUCCCUCACACACUUUGAAGCCUGUGAAGCCGACAGGUAUUGAAGACGCGUUUUCUAAGA